rnacentral:rRNA from 1 species
UACGUAGGGUGCGAGCGUUGUCCGGAAUUAUUGGGCGUAAAGAGCUCGUAGGCGGUUUGUCGCGUCUGCCGUGAAAGUCCGGGGCUCAACUCCGGAUCUGCGGUGGGUACGGGCAGACUAGAGUGAUGUAGGGGAGACUGGAAUUCCUGGUGUAGCGGUGAAAUGCGUAGAUAUCGGGAGGAACACCAGUGGCGAAGGCGACUACCUGGCCUGUUCUUGACGCUGAGGCGCGAAAGCUAGGGGAGCAAACGGG